GACGAACGCUGGCGGCGUGCUUAACACAUGCAAGUCGAACGCUGAAGCUCAGCUUUUGUCGGGUGGAUGAGUGGCGAACGGGUGAGUAACACGUGAGUAACCUGCCUCCUUCUUUGGGAUAACGCCCGGAAACGGGUGCUAAUACUGGAUAUUCACUGGUCUUCGCAUGGGGGUUGGUGGAAAGGGUUUUUCUGGUGGGGGAUGGGCUCGCGGCCUAUCAGCUUGUUGGUGGGGUGAUGGCCUACCAAGGCUUUGACGGGUAGCCGGCCUGAGAGGGUGACCGGUCACAUUGGGACUGAGAUACGGCCCAGACUCCUACGGGAGGCAGCAGUGGGGAAUAUUGCACAAUGGGCGCAAGCCUGAUGCAGCGACGCCGCGUGAGGGAUGGAGGCCUUCGGGUUGUGAACCUCUUUCGCUCAUGGUCAAGCCGCAACAAUGGUUGUGGUGAGGGUAGUGGGUAAAGAAGCGCCGGCUAACUACGUG
rnacentral:rRNA from 1 species